rnacentral:rRNA from 1 species
ACACAUGCAAGUCGAACGAGCGAGAGAGAGCUUGCUUUCUCGAGCGAGUGGCGAACGGGUGAGUAACGCGUGAGGAACCUGCCUCAAAGAGGGGGACAACAGUUGGAAACGACUGCUAAUACCGCAUAAGCCCACGGGUCGGCAUCGACCAGAGGGAAAAGGAGCAAUCCGCUUUGAGAUGGCCUCGCGUCCGAUUAGCUAGUUGGUGAGGUAACGGCCCACCAAGGCAACGAUCGGUAGCCGGACUGAGAGGUUGAACGGCCACAUUGGGACUGAGACACGGCCCAGACUCCUACGGGAGGCAGCAGUGGGGAAUAUUGCACAAUGGGGGAAACCCUGAUGCAGCGACGCCGCGUGGAGGAAGAAGGUCUUCGGAUUGUAAACUCCUGUUGUUGAGGAAGAUAAUGACGGUACUCAACAAGGAAGUGACGGCUAACUACGUGCCAGCAGCCGCGGUAAAACGUAGGCCACAAGCGUUGUCCGGAAUUACUGGGUGUAAAGGGAGCGCAGGCGGGAAGACAAGUUGGAAGUGAAAUCCAUGGGCUCAACCCAUGAACUGCUUUCAAAACUGUUUUUCUUGAGUAGUGCAGAGGUAGGCGGAAUUCCCGGUGUAGCGGUGGAAUGCGUAGAUAUCGGGAGGAACACCAGUGGCGAAGGCGGCCUACUGGGCACCAACUGACGCUGAGGCUCGAAAGUGUGGGUAGCAAACAGGAUUAGAUACCCUGGUAGUCCACACUGUAAACGAUGAAUACUAGGUGUGCGGGGACUGACCCCUUGCGUGCCGCAGUAAACACAAUAAGUAUUCCACCUGGGGAGUACGAUCGCAAGG